rnacentral:lncRNA from 1 species
AUUCUCUGGAAUUUUGCGGAGAAGACGCACGCUCAGGAGUUCCUUCCUCCUCUGGAUCUCCUCCUCUGCGGCUGCAUUCAAUCUCGCCUACCCCCUGCGGAUUCCACCAUGACCAGGUCUUCUCUCUGAUCCUACCUCUCCCGACUGCCACUCAUGAGCACCUGCAAGAAAUGAGGCACACACAUGCACAGAGAGAGCGAGAGAGAAA